rnacentral:rRNA from 1 species
AUGUCGACGCUUGCCGCGGCGAGGGCCGACAACUUCUACUACCCGCCCGAAUGGAGCCCGAAGAAGGGUGGGCUGAACAAGUUCCACGGCCAACAUGCCCUCAGGGAGCGGGCGAGGAAGCUGGAUCAGGGCAUCCUGAUUAUAAGAUUCGAGAUGCCUUUCAAUGUCUGGUGUGGUGGAUGCAGCUCCAUGAUAGGGAAGGGAGUAAGGUUUAAUGCUGAAAAGAAACAAGUUGGAAAUUAUUACUCUACCAAGAUAUGGAGCUUCAGUAUGAAAUCACCAUGUUGCCAGCAUGAGAUAGUCAUACAUACGGACCCGAAGAAUACUGAGUAUGUUAUAAUCAGUGGGGCUCAGCGGAAGACUGAAGAUUUUGAUGUUGAAGAUGCAGAGACGCUCCUGCUCCCUGCGGAUGAAGAAAGAGACAAGCUUGCGGAUCCCAUGUAUAAGCUUGAACACCAGGGAGAGGAUAUUCGGAAGAAGAAAGAAGAGGAGCCUGUUUUAGUUCGGCUUCAACGCCUCUCUGAUAGCCGUCAUUCUGAUGAUUAUUCCCUGAACAGAACCCUCCGCUACCGCCUUAGGAGCCAAAAGAAGAGAGUUGCUGAAGAGAAGAAAUCAGCGAGGAGGAUGGGGCUCGGAGUACGCCUUCUGCCACCCUCCGCAGAGGAUGCUGCCGCUGCAGCUCGUGUGAGGUUCGCCUCGAAUUUCGAGAAGAACAGGAAGGACAAGAGAGCAGCGAUCAAGGCCGCCUCCAUCUUCCCGGAGCCAUCAGGCUCAGCUUCGAAAGACAAGCUAGACCUUGCGCUGAAGAGGCGGAAUAUAAAAGCUAGUGCAGCGUCGGCGCUGAUGGCGGGCAGGGCAAAGCCGUCGUCGUGGUCGCGGCAGAGCACCGGUUCUGGAAGUGCAAGGACUGCUGUGCCGAUAUUGGCAAGGCGCAAGUAG